UCAACUUGUAUUCCCACAAUAUAUGUUCAAAAAAUUAUAUGCGUAAAUUUUUCAACUAAAACAACCAUCAGCGUCACUGUAGAUUAAAAGAAUUACAUAUCUUAUAUAUGACUGUAUAUGACUACAUAAACUGUAUAUACAUAUAACUGUAUGUUACUACAUAUCUGAUUCUCUCUAAUUGACCUGCUGUUGCCCAUCUUCUUCAACAUCGACUUUUUUUGUUGCAACUCAAUUUUACACCAGAAAACACUAAAAAACCGACUGAGAUCGAGAGGAGAUAGAUGAAUAGGGAGAAAAAUACUUUAACAUCAGAAUUCGGCGGUGCAGGACUCAAAACGAUUGAUCAAACCACAAACACACAAAAAUCGAAACAAAAAAAAAAGUACCCAAAAUAUAAAUAUUCUCUUACUUUGGUUUCAGAUCUCGACCUCUUCAUCGUUCUCUUCUUCGACCCCUCCUUCGAUCAAAAAUCUAAAAAAAUGAAAUUUCCAUUUCUCAACAGAAUCAAAAAACAAAAUCAGCAAAAAAUACAUUGAAAAAAAUUAGAAAAAAAAUAUUUUAAAUAACUCACUGGGCCAAACCCUCGUCCCAGAGCAAGAAUUUUUCUUCACCAGCAGUCUUGUACAUUUUAUUUGGCUUCAGAUCUUGGCGGCGGCGAAGGAGGAAUCGACAAGGGCUAGGCAAAGAGCGCUCCAAAUCCAUGUACACCCAUAAUCGUAUCUUAGUGUCGCUUCUCAAGCCCUAGCCACGGUGACGGAAGAUAUAUCGGACAGAUCUGGCGCGAGAGUUGGAAAGAGAGAGAGAGAUGUAAUGUGUUGUGGGUGUGAGAGGAAGAGAAAAAUGUUAGGAGGGUUAGGGUAUU
rnacentral:lncRNA from 1 species